CAGGGCUUCCCCUUAGGGAAGAGUGCAGCUGCUCACAGCUGCAGGGUUACACCUGUGGCCUGAUCCAUGGAAAGGAGGGCUGACAGCUGCUUUGGUAGCACCCAGCACUGCGCACCAAGAAGGAAUAACAAUUUCUUUUCACUAGCUGCUUUUCAGUGUCUUCUCUGCUGGGCACGUGAAGCUCAUCUGGACCACAAAGCCUGCAUACAGAAAGCUGCUCUCCUCUGUCUGAGCCCUGACCCUGCUCCACCAGCUGUAAACAGGUAUCAGUUCAGAAAACAAGAUGGAUCAUAUUUCUCAUUUCCACGCAUUCUCCUUCCACUACAGCUUCUACAAUCAAUCCCUCUCAUGUAUUUCUCUGCUACAUUACAGAUUGUUUUUGUCUGAACAAAUGCGGAGCUGACUUUUUCUCUGCUCCCCUAGCACCUUGCAUUUAUGGCUGGAAGUCUGCCUGUUCAAACAUACAUUCUGGAGAUUGCAUCUGCUGCAGUAAGAAAUUUUGUUGAUGUGGCAAAGGCCAGAACAGCUCUGCCCUGAAGAUGUUGCUGGCACAGGGGCCGGCAGCCCCAGGAUUCAUCCUGCGCCUGCCUUCCCCAGCUGCAGUGCUGCCUAGCCGCAUGUUUUAAGCUUUAACACUAGGAAGAGUGUGACCACGGUAAUCUCUGUUGCUGAGACCUUGAC
rnacentral:lncRNA from 1 species